UAGGGAGCGAGCGUUGUCCGGAAUUACUGGGUUUAAAGGGAGCGUAGGCGGGAUGCUAAGUCAGUUGUGAAAGUUUGCGGCUCAACCGUAAAAUUGCAGUUGAUACUGGCGUCCUUGAGUGCGGCAGAGGCAGGCGGAAUUCGUGGUGUAGCGGUGAAAUGCUUAGAUAUCACGAAGAACUCCGAUUGCGAAGGCAGCUUGCUGGACCGUAACUGACGCUGAUGCUCGAAAGUGCGGGUAUCA
rnacentral:rRNA from 1 species